CGGGGUGCAGCAGUGGGGAAUAUUGGACAAUGGGCGAAAGCCUGAUCCAGCAAUGCCGCGUGUGUGAAGAAGGCCUUCGGGUUGUAAAGCACUUUCAGUAGGGAAGAAUGGCCUAAGGUUAAUAUCCUUAGGAAGUGACAUUACCUACAGAAGAAGCACUGGCUAACUCUGUGCCAGCAGCCGCGGUAAUACAGAGAGUGCAAGCGUUAAUCGGAAUUACUGGGCGUAAAGCGCACGUAGGUGGGUACUUAAGUCGAAUGUGAAAGCCCCGGGCUUAACCUGGGAAUGGCAUCCGAUACUGGGUAUCUAGAGUAUGGUAGAGGGAAGUGGAAUUUCCGGUGUAGCGGUGAAAUGCGUAGAUAUCGGAAAGAACACCAGUGGCGAAGGCGGCUUCCUGGACUAAUACUGACACUGAGGUGCGAAAGCGUGGGGAGCAAACAGGAUUAGAUACCCUUGU
rnacentral:rRNA from 1 species